CCUACGGGCGGCAGCAGUGGGGAAUAUUGCACAAUGGGGGAAACCCUGAUGCAGCGACGCCGCGUGAGUGAAGAAGUAAUUCGGUAUGUAAAGCUCUAUCAUCAGGGAAGAAAAUGACGGUACCUGAGUAAGAAGCCCCGGCUAACUACGUUCCAGCAGCCGCGGUAAAACGUAGGGGGCAAGCGUUAUCCGGAUUUACUGGGUGUAAAGGGAGCGUAGACGGCAGUGCAAGUCUGGAGUGAAAGGCUGGGGCUCAACCCGCGGACUGCAGUUGAAACUGGACGUCUGGAGUGCAGGAGAGGUAAGUGGAAUUCCUAGUGUAGCGGUGAAAUGCGUAGAUAUUAGGAGGAACACCAGUGGCGAAGGCGGCUUACUGGACUGUAACUGACGUUGAGGCUCGAAAGCGUGGGGAGCAAACAGGAUUAGAUACCCGAGUAGUC
rnacentral:rRNA from 1 species